AACACCCACAAACAACGUCACGACGCAACGUGGUUAAACAGUACGUUUAUUAAAGUAACUGGGUGAACGACAUCGGAGCGGACUGCAAAUCGCAACGCUACUUUCUCGAGUGCAGAUACUCUUCGAGACGGCUAAACAACGUGUCCAACUCGCUGAGACCUUUCCGCGUGCCGUUAUCCGAUUUCCUUUCCGCCUCCUGAGACAGCCGACUAAUCACGGACUUAUCUCCGCAACCUAACAGAGGCUGGGAGCCCGACAAAAGUAAAACAGCGUGCUAUGAACACGUUGUUACCUCUGCGCGGACAGCGCCGCCACAGAGACACUUACGCAUUGCCGCAUGUCUUUGUAGAUGGAUUCUAGCGUCGAGCGCAUACUAUGCAAUUCCGUCUUAAGUCCAGGAUAGACGUGGUCGCCUGCGGGGAACACGAUCUCCAGAUACCGCCUCAACAACCAGUCCAUGACGCUGCAUCCCCAACAGCCUUUGACCACCGUACCGUCGAGCCACACGGAGUAGUCGUCCUCACGUUGCUACAAGAGGAAAACUACGUCACCCGACACGCGGAAAAGAAAGACCGUCGCAAUAAACCGUACCUACGUGACCUACCAACGUAGGUUUUACUCGAUGAAAGGUGACGCGGAGAUCUUGCAAUCUGGUCGCGUAAUCCUCCGGACGACACUGCGGCUUUGUAUUCUUUAUCGUCGUCGUCGUCGUCGUCGUCGCCGCCGGCUUCGCCUCCUCGGAAGCGCCUAGAAAAAAGACGAUCAGGACCAGAGAGGAAGAGACCAUCACCGACAGCAUCGCCGCAGCAUGCCGCCCCAAUCCGCCGCCCAACUGCGCGUCCCAGAUACCACUCGUAGACUGUCAGCCUCGCGAGGAGACACCGCGGACCGGGGAAACGGAUAAGUUUACGAACAGAAAUCUCAAGAGAAAGACGCUGACCCGGCAAGUACCGUCACGGAGACACGGUGGUUUUUAUUGAAUUUCCAGUGUAUCGAGCCACCGUGAUGCAGGUACGGUGGUUUUAUGUGAAGUGCCGCUAUCUAUAGGCGAUGUGUUCCCUGACGGUGUGUGUUUUUUGGGGAUAGACAACGUGGUUCUUGUACGUGGUUUUUACCCUGCUCAAUAAAGUCACGUUUUCCUUACACGGUGUUGUGUC
rnacentral:sRNA from 1 species